rnacentral:rRNA from 1 species
UACGAAGGGGGCUAGCGUUGUUCGGAAUUACUGGGCGUAAAGCUGGUGUAGGCGGAUCUUUAAGUCGGAGGUGAAAGCCCAGGGCUCAACCCUGGAAUUGCCUUCGAUACUGGAGAUCUGGAGUGUGGGAGGGGUGAGUGGAAUUCCGAGUGGAGAGGUGAAAUUCGUAGAUAUUCGGAGGAACACCAGAGGCGAAGGCGGCUCACGGGACCACUACUGACGCUGAGACCCGAAAGCGUGGGGAGCAAACAGG